rnacentral:rRNA from 1 species
UACGUAGGGUGCAAGCGUUAUCCGGAAUUAUUGGGCGUAAAGAGCUCGUAGGCGGUUUGUCGCGUCUGCUGUGAAAACUGGAGGCUCAACCUCCAGCCUGCAGUGGGUACGGGCAGACUAGAGUGCGGUAGGGGAGAUUGGAAUUCCUGGUGUAGCGGUGGAAUGCGCAGAUAUCAGGAGGAACACCAAUGGCGAAGGCAGAUCUCUGGGCCGUAACUGACGCUGAGGAGCGAAAGCAUGGGGAGCGAACAGG